CCAGCUCCAAUAGCGUAUAUUAAAGUUGUUGCAGUUAAAAAGCUCGUAGUUGGAUUUCUGGAUUGAUCGUCCGGUCCGCUUCCUUUGGGAGUGUGUACUAAGGAUGGUUGGUCCAUUUUUUGUGAGGAUGUUCUUCUGCCAUUAAGUUGGUGGUUGAAUGGACUUGCAUCGUUUACUGUGAAAAAAUUAGAGUGUUUAAAGCAGGCGUUUGCUUGAAUACAUUAGCAUGGAAUAAUAAGAUACGACCUUGGUCUAUUUUGUUGGUUUGCAUACCAGGGUAAUGAUUAAUAGGGACAGUUGGGGGUAUUCAUAUUUCAGCGUCAGAGGUGAAAUUCUUGGAUCGCUGAAAGAUGAGCUUAGGCGAAAGCAUUUACCAAGGAUGUUUUCA
rnacentral:rRNA from 1 species